rnacentral:rRNA from 3 species
UGCGAUAAGCGCCGGUAAGGUGAUAUGAACCGUUAUAACCGGCGAUUUCCGAAUGGGGAAACCCAGUGUGAUUCGUCACACUAUCAUUAACUGAAUCCAUAGGUUAAUGAGGCGAACCGGGGGAACUGAAACAUCUAAGUACCCCGAGGAAAAGAAAUCAACCGAGAUUCCCCCAGUAGCGGCGAGCGAACGGGGAGGAGCCCAGAGCCUGAAUCAGCAUGUGUGUUAGUGGAAGCGUCUGGAAAGGCGCGCGAUACAGGGUGACAGCCCCGUACACAAAAGCGCAUGUGCUGUGAGCUCGAUGAGUAGGGCGGGACACGUGGUAUCCUGUCUGAAUAUGGGGGGACCAUCCUCCAAGGCUAAAUACUCCUGACUGACCGAUAGUGAACCAGUACCGUGAGGGAAAGGCGAAAAGAACCCCGGCGAGGGGAGUGAAAAAGAACCUGAAACCGU